GCUGGCUCCAUUGCUGUGGGCCUGAGGACAGGCAGAGCAUCAUGCUGAAAGAGUGUGGUGGAGGAAAGCUGAUCACCUCAUGGCCUCCAGGAAGCAGAGAGAGGGGAAGGAGCCAGGGAAGAAGGGGCCGGGGACCAGAUGGAGUCCUGUGGCUAAUGCUUCCACACUUCACUUUCUUCCACUAGGCCCCACAUCCGAAGUUUCUGUCUUUCCUAGUAAUGCCAUCAAAUCAUGAUCUCAUCAAUAGGUUAAUCCACCCAUGAAUUCAGAGCCUUGGGAAUCCAGUAUCCUUCCAAAAGCCCCACCUCUGAGCACAGGAGCCACCUGAGGCAACAUUUCAGAUCUAAACCUCGACAGCCCCAUGCCAGCACAGUACCACAAGAAACUGUUUUGCCUGAUUAUAGAUGAGUGAAUGACCCCAGACUGUAAUUAGAUGUGAGGAAUUCAGCUUCUUUUGAAUAUCGUCCAAAUAAAUAAUGGAAAUUCUUUGUUCCUUAUGUUAUGCAGGACUUACUGUGGGCUGGAUCGGUGCCUAAUGCUCAAGGCCACAGGUUGAUGCCAUCGCAAUCCCUCAAUUGGAGGCUGGUUUCUCCCAUUGACCCCAGACCCUUCGUAGGCAGGAAUACACCCAUUGUCCUUGUGUCAUCUCUACCUGGCAGGUGCACCCACCGCUACUCAUGGCUGCGUCAAAGCAUGCUUGGUGUGCUCUGCAGACUACGGUAAACUACUUUAUCCUCACAACAUAGGCUCAGCUUGAGGGCACCUCAGCAUGCCUCCAGCUUACUGGAAAGACUGCCUUAAACAUUUCCAGCCAAACCAUGACAAUAUCAAUGGGACUUACAGGAGAACAAAUGAGGUUUCAGUAAUGCCCCUCUGCCACAGCACCCUGGCUCGGAGCCACCCCACUGCAGACUGAAACCUCUACAAACUGUGAGCCAAAAUAUACCUUUUCUUUUUUACUUGUAGAAGUUGGGUAUUUUGUCCCAGCAAUGUGAAAAUAACUGAAACAAUUAGGUAUCCCAAGAUGGGUGCCAGGCACAUCUGUUAGCUGGGAUUUCUGAGAUAAUUUAAUGAUGGGAUUGUUUUCGAGGUGAGGGCAGGAUUGUGGCAACCACAGUGGGCUGUUGAGGCACCGAAGGUAAAUACAGCAGGUACUGUCACCAGCUUUAGUCUGGAAAAACCCCAAGGAAAUAAUGAAAGUCACCAGGGCCAAGUCAGAGCUGUAACCGUGAAAGAGGCUGCCUGCCUGUCUGGAGUUGGAGUUUCAGAGGGAAGGAAUCUGGCCUGGGGCACAAAGGCAGGGUGCAGUAAGGUAGGAAAUCCCCACAUCUCUCUCUGGCAGGCAGAAUAAUGUUCCUCCAACCAUGCCCA
rnacentral:lncRNA from 1 species